rnacentral:rRNA from 1 species
UUCAAACCCUAGCUCAACCGCCCCCUCCAACACCACCCAAUUAACCAAACAAACCAUUUGAUAUCACUAGUAAAGGAGAUUGAACAU